rnacentral:tRNA from 1 species
UGGCUCAGUCAGUCGGGCGUCCGCCUCACAACCGGGAGGUUGUGGGUUCAAACCCCAC